CUGCUGCUGUAUUUUUUUAUUAUUAAGUGCGAUUGUGAACAAUAACCGGAUCAGAAAUGCUGAUCAAGUCAACUAGUUCCUAAAGAGAACUCUGAUAGGCCAAUCAGACGGUUCACUGCUGCUCAGCAAUAGAACAUAAAAUCCCCAGUUUUCUGUUCCAUUGAUGGAAAACAAUUGCGAUUGAAAAUAAAGUGGAAAUAAUAAAGCGACUGGAAAGAGGUGAAACGCUAUUGGUCAUUGGAAAAACUUUAGGCUACAGUCGGUCAACGAUUGGAACAACUUUAAAGGAUACAGGUGUUCAAGGGAUGAGUGAAGAGCCAAUGAGAUGGCAUCUGCUGUGGACCUGUUGCUCCAGUAGGCAAAUGGGAACAGAUUGAAGUCACCUUUCAGCAGGAGCUGAUACACUUCAUCACCAGCCUCUUAAAACAAUUCUUCACUGUGGAUGUAAAUGCAACUGGGCAAUAGUCAGUGAGGCAGGGCACCAUGCUCUUCUUGGACACUGGUAUGAUUGCAGUCUGCUUGGAGCAGAUAGCCACGAAACCAGAAAAGAAAAGAACGGCACCAAAUUCCUCCUCCCUGCACAAAAGCAUGGACAAAAAUGGAACAGGCACAUUGACCCCCAAAUCCCCCUCCCUCACACACAAAAAAACAAGAAAGAUUGGGUGAAAAACACACAGAAUAUAAAAACUAUACGACAAAAAAAUGAGAAAGAUUGGGUGAAAAACACACAGAAUAUACAAACUAUACGAUUAACAAUAAGUCCACAGUCCACCUCCAUAUCCAAAAUGCAGAAAACAUUCUCUGGGCACAGUGGCAGGCCCUUUCCUCCCCGGCAGCAGAGCGAUCACAGCAGUGAUCAAAAGGUAAUCUCCCCUCUCUAGCAGCAAAGCAAUUUCACCAGCGAUCAAAAGGCAGAUUCUCCUCUCCGUUGCAGAGCGAUCCCACCAGCGAUCAAAAGACAGAUUCCCCUCUCCAUCAGCAGAGCGAUCCCACCAGCGAACAAAAGGUAAUCUCCUCUCUCCGGCAGCAGAGUGAUUCCCCCAGCGAUCAAAGGGCAAGCAGCCAGCACUCACCUUCCACACUCACCUCAAUGUUUC